AGCAAGUGGCUGUGGUCCCCUUCCACGGUGUGGGGGCUUUGUUCUUUCCCUCUUUGCAAUAAAUCUUGCUGCUGCUCACUCUUUGGGUCCACACUGUCUUUAUGAGCUGUAACAUUCACCGCGAAGGUUUGCAGCUUCACUCCUUAAGCCAGUGAAACCACUAACCCACCAAGAAGAAUGAACAAACAACUCCAGACGCGCGGCCUUAAGAGCUGUAACACUCACCGCGAAGGUCCGCAGCGUCUCUCCUGAGCUAGUGUGACCACGAACCAACCAGAAGGAACAAACUCCGAACACGCCGCCUUUAAGAACUGUAAUACUCACCGCGACGGCUUUUAAGAACUGUAACACUCACCGCGACGGUCGGCGGCUUCAUUCUUGAAGUCAGUCAGACCAAGAACCUACCAAUUCCGGACGCACUACCCGGGGGACAUGAUAAAUCUGGGAAGGGCACCUCAGGUUUUAUCUUCAUCAGCCUGGUCAAAGCUGGAUUUCCAUCACACAUGUGCUCACUCCACGGAACGUGCAAAAGGUCAAGACAUACAAACUCAGAGUUUUUAAAAUCAAGAAUUGAAAGUGGUCCACUAGCUUCUGUUCAUAGGACAUUGAGCCCCAGAUUUGGCACAUGACCUCUUAAGGCUCUAAUAUCUUGUCUUCUGGCUAUGAGAACAGAGCAUAUGGUUUGCUUGAAGAUUCUUGUUCAACACUUAUCCAUUAAUCUGACAGCAGGAAGUGCUAAAGAGCAGAAACAGGAGUCGGUCAGACUCUCACCUCAAGUCCAAGGCAAAUAUGCUUGCCCCUAAAAGACAUACUUGAUCUUCAAGUUCAGGAAAACCAGAUACAAAGGUAACUGCUAACAUUUCUCCCUUAUGAUUUCGGGACAUUCUUUCAGUAAGCUAUUUCAUCAGUAAUUAUAUUAUUCAUAUAUGAUUUUUUCCCUUAUAGAACAACACACACACACACACACACACACACACACACACACACACACACUCACAUAUCAAAACAAGGAAUUAAAGCAAGGAAUUAUGGAAUUAUGGUUUGUAUAGGGUUUGGGAAUAAUGUUUUGGUUUUGUGAUAAAUCCUAAGUAACACUUCACUUGCCUUUAUUUAUCUAUACGUAAUUCCCAAGAAACUCUGUCCUGCCUUCUUCCAACUGUCACAGCUACCUGGAGGGAAUUUAUCAGCAACCAGUACUUCUGUCAAAACUUUGUGAAAAAUAACUAUGCUGUGCUGUUGAAUAAUUUCUACAUAAUGACUAAUAUAGUUGAGGAGAAUCUCUGUAAACCAGUGAGAAAUCAUGAUAAUAAAAGCUCACAAGGAUGUCCAAGAUUCUUGUUUAAUCUGUAUCCAUCAAUCAACUACUCAGAUUUUAAUUUGGGCUCCUUCAUUUCUACCCUAUUAAAUUCCCUUUACCAUCUUCCUUCUCUUUUCUGUUGUGUUUUGAAAGAAAGCCUAUAUGUUAGUGAAACGCAAUUAGUGGAAAUAAGAUUCUCUCAAUAGUAGAGAUAAACAUGCUUUUUCUUUUCAAAACCGGCAAAUACCUAUUUAAAAAAUUACACUCAACUCAACAUUACCAUCAAAGUAGCUUAUCCAUGUUCCGGAUCGCACAGACUACAAACUAUAUUCCUUGCCUUCUGGAAUGUCUUUCUCAUCUCUCCUACUUGAUACUCCAGCUCAUUGGCUUAUGAACCCCCUACCAGGGCAGGUACAAUUCAUUAUUCAUUCAUGCAUGCAUUCGAAAGACAUUUCUUGAAUGCAUUUGCCAAUCAGUGUAGUAGGGGAUUUAUGUUACUUUUAAUCCAAUGCCCAUACAAGGUACAAGGUACACAUUCUUAUUUUACAGAUGAGGAACUGGGACUAAAAUUAACUUGCUAGACCAAGUCUGUGUGAUGCCAAAGCUUGUGCUUGUUCUUCUACAUUAUGCAAGACAGAAGGCAACAGAUGAUUAACUGUAGUUUUCUACAUUUUGCACUAACAUGACCCUCCACUGGCUUAAAACGUAGAAAGUUGCCAUCCUUCCAGGCAGGACCAACUCAGUGAAGGAAAUGAGUACAUCUGUUCACUUGCCAAAUGUGCUCUUUUGGAAAAAAAAAUUUGAAGUUAUACAAAUAUUUGCCAUUCCAUUAACUUAUGUGAUCUAGAAACUAAUGAACACAAAAUGAAUUUUUGCUUUUUGGGCUAUUUGUCUUGUCAUUAGCUAAAACAUUAUGACAAACUUCAUCUGUAACAUAAACAAACCUGAGCUAUUUUAAAGUCCAGAAAAUGUGAAGCUAGUGCCGAAUCUCAGUGGAAUACUAAUUUUUACAACUGUCUGCCUCUUUGCAGCAGGCGUCUUCUCUAUUUGGUUUCCAUUUCGAAAUCAUGAAAUGAACGUACCGUCCUGACCUCCAGCCAUCUGUUGGCAGCUGAG
rnacentral:lncRNA from 1 species